CUGGACGGAUUAGUGAUUUAAGUUUUUUGUUGGACGCUCGUCUCAUUUGUUCGCUUGUCUUUUUCAGCAUGUCGUUGCAUUAUGCGGAGACUUUGUUUUCGUUUGAGCUUUUGGCAGACUACAUCAGACUCGAGAGGCACUGCAAAGUGUCAGAAAAGCUGGCUCUCGGAGUGCGCCUGCUGGAUUUCCCAACGCUGCUCAUUUAUCAGCACCCGCAGAGCCGCAGAGGCAUUAACCAGCCCGAGCAGGGAGGAAGUGAAAAACAGGGAAAACACGCUUUUAACAGGGGAAAAUCUUGCCUUUUCAAAAUGAGCCUCACCUCACUGCGUGUGCAUCUGUCCAACACCCCUCUCUAUGUCAUGGUGCUGGAUGUGGAGGAGGAGGAGACCCCCAGAUUAGUCGGCUCCUCUGUAAUAUCUCUGGCCAAAGCCAUGGACAGAAUCUGGCAGGAUGUGGCUGAAUGUGGCAUCUCUCAUCCCUCUUCUCACACAGAGAGAGAAGUUGCUGGUAUAUGCAACCUCACAGGGGAGAGGAUCGGAAAAUUAUCCCUAAGUUAUAAACUGGUAUGUCUGGGGGCGAGCUUACUGCCGCACAUCCCAGAGAGGAAGGGGGAUGAAAGCACACGUGUGCCUGCUGGAGAACAGCAAGAACGUGUCAAGGAGAAGAUUACGCAUGGAGAGUCCUUGCCUCUUGGCGGUGGGAGUGUGUGUCUUCCCAGUUUUGAUAAGCCGGGCAUAAACAUUCAAAACAAUGGACAAGCCGAUACAAAGAUGUUAUCAAAGAAUAUUCAGGAUGAUGAUGAUGAUGAAAGUGAUACAGCUCAAAGUCAAGCUGGAGACCAUUCUGAGGCUGAUUUAACUUCAUUCUGUCCCCCUUGUCUGUACUACAGUAAUACUGCUGAGGAAAAGAGCCAAUAUGAAGAGCUGGAUUACAAAUUACUCAACUUAGAUAUGGAGGCUUUUACAUUUGAAGAUUUGCCAUCUGAAAAUGAAGAUGAUAAAAAGGAAGUCAAAGGUCCAAGCUCUCAAACGGUGCACGACAGAGUGACUCGCGAUCCUAAGAUGACAAGUAGUCAAGACACCAGUAAGGUGACGCCUAAUGUCCUCAGGGAAGCCUUACAACAGUUACCUCUCUUAAAUGCUCUUGUUGCUGAGCUGUCACAGUUGAGCGGUCAGAGCCCCGACCAGUACUUGAGUGUUCAUCCCAGUCAAGCCGGGACUCGCAGGCCUUCUUCCGCUGAGCCUUCAGCUGGACAUCCAGGACAAACCCCACGCCCACUCAAAACUACACAUUUAAAGCAUUUACAACACCCCAGAAACUUUUCUACGCCCAUAAUUACUCACAGAUCCGUAAAUAAGAAAGAUGGCCAAAAUGAGACUUUAAUAGGGAAGAAAAUCUCCAGUAAAUCUCUAAGGAAAAAGCUUGUGUAUGGAACAACUAAAACAUUUAAUCUAAGAAUGGAGCUAAUUGCUCCUGUCAAAGGGAAGCGUUGUGAGGCCAUGGAGAUGGUACAGGAAGAAACUGUGUCAAGGACAGCCAAAGGAAAGACAAUGUCAAGCAGAAAAGCAAAGACGUCCAGCAAAAGAAAAUCUGUUUAUAACCACAUCUCCGACCAGAAUGAAAAUAUUGAGACAGUGAUACAAAGCUUCACAGCGAACUCUGAGCCACAGGAUACAGUCACGCUGAAACAAAAAACUCAGCAGGAGAAUAUUCAUGUUGAACAAGGAGUUUCACAAAAACUUUUUCUUUCACGAAGAGAUUUGAAAUUUAUUCACAUCCCCAGUGUGGGUAGUGACAGCAUUCCUCAGAGCAAAGAGGAAUAUGAACAUCACAGCAAAUCAGAUCCAGCAGAGUCUGAGCCUGACAAGGACGGAAACCAAAGUGAAUCUUCACAAAGCAGCAGGCGCAGCAGCCACAAAUCUUCAUUUUCAGAGUCCAGCAUUGAAGGAAAUGAGGAAGCAGAGUAUAUGGAUGACUUUGACAGCCUCGAAUACAGUGACGCUUUCUCUCCUGAUCCGUUGAGCAGCCCUGAAACCUCCAGACCCAAGUCUCCCGUUCACCUCGACCUCUGCAACCCCGACUCGACAUCUUUAAGUAUCCAUAAGAGAAAAGCCCUCCUCCCCGAGCCUGUAAAAGCCCCCAGUUCUCCACACCAAGCUCUCAUGGGCACAUACGUCGUCCGGCCUCGCGCCCACACCUCCGCUCUCAGCUUCUCCUCUGAUGAUAAUGACAGGGAUGGGCAGGCUUCCUUACAAACUGUCGUCUCCAGAAAACCGACAGCUGCAAGUAACAAAUCGAAGAAAGACUCUAGUGGUGAGAGCGAUAUAUCGUCAAGUUCUCAAAUGGCUGGGUCAGCCAAGAACUGUGACCCUGUCCGAAGAUUUUCUGCAGAAUCCAUCUCCUCAUUUGAAGCUCAGGAGGGAGAAGAACUGGAGGACGAGCUUGGAUCUCUGGAUUUCAGAAAGAAGUAUAAACACAUUUCCGAGCUUGUUGCCAGCAAACUCCCUGGAUACACAAUGUGUGGGCAAAACCACCCUGAUCCAGAAAGCAUGCGAGGCUUUAUUGUCGUCAGGAGUGGGAGCUGAAGGCUUUUACACAGAGGAGGUGAGAGGCGGAGGCAGGAGAGUGGGCUUUGAUGUGGUCACACUGAGCGGAGAGAGGGGCCACCUGUCCAGAACCAGAGAUGGUCCCGGUGGCUCUCAGGGCGGACGGGAGUACACAGUGGGACAGUAUGUAGUUGAUUUGCCUUCAUUUGAGGGUCUGGUGCUCCCCCUCUUCAGA